AGCGGCGGACGGGUGAGUAACGCGUGGGUAACCGUGCCUCAUACAGGGGGAUAACAGUUGGAAACGGCUGCUAAUACCGCAUAAGCGCACAGUACCGCAUGGUACCGUGUGAAAAACUCCGAUGGUAUGGGAUGGACCCGCGUCUGAUUAGCUAGUUGGUGGGGUAACGGCCUACCAAGGCGACGAUCAGUAGCCGACCUGAGAGGGUGACCGGCCACAUUGGGACUGAGACACGGCCCAA
rnacentral:rRNA from 1 species